AUGAAUCUCCUUGCCUGGAACUGUCGAGGACUGGGGUUGUACUCGACAGUUGGCGAACUCAGAUAUCUGAUACGGUCCCACAACCCAGCGGUGGUGUUCCUGAGCGAGACGAAGAAGAAGGCCAGGGCUAUGGAGAAGCUAAAGUGGAGUUUAGGGUUUAAAGAGGGGGUGGCUGUUGAUUGUAAGGGGAAAAGUGGUGGAACGGCUCUGUGGUGGAGAGACAACGUGCAAGUGUCCAUUCGGCCGUGGUGCCAAUAUUUCAUUGGUGCUGCGGUUAUCUUUGAAGGAAAAGCCUUUAGAAUCACUGGAUUUUACAGCGAACCUAGAACUGAGCUCAGGUCCAAAUCAUGGGAGGCACUCCGGUUCCUUAGAAGAUAG
rnacentral:rRNA from 1 species